rnacentral:rRNA from 1 species
UACGUAGGUGGCAAGCGUUGUUCGGAAUUAUUGGGCGUAAAGAGCGUGUAGGCGGCCAGGUAGGUCUGCUGUGAAAACUCGAGGCUCAACCUCGAGACGUCGGCGGAAACCAUCUGGCUAGAGUCCGGAAGAGGAGAGUGGAAUUCCUGGUGUAGCGGUGAAAUGCGCAGAUAUCAGGAAGAACACCCGUGGCGAAGGCGGCUCUCUGGGACGGUACUGACGCUGAGACGCGAAAGCGUGGGGAGCGAACAGG